ACUCCUACGGGAGGCAGCAGUAAGGAAUAUUGCGCAAUGGGCGACAGCCUGACGCAGCGACGCCGCGUGGGGGAUGAAGGUCUUCGGACUGUAAACCCCUUUCGACAGGGAAGAUGGAACGGGUAACCGUUCGGACGGUACCUGCAGAAGCAGCCACGGCUAACUUCGUGCCAACAGCCGCGGUAAUACGAAGGUGGCAAGCGUUGUUCGGAUUUACUGGGCGUACAGGGAGCGUAGGCGGUUGGGUAAGCCCUCCGUGAAAUCUCCGGGCCUAACCCGGAAAGUGCGGAGGGGACUGCUCGGCUAGAGGAUGGGAGAGGAGCGC
rnacentral:rRNA from 1 species